rnacentral:lncRNA from 1 species
AGAGUGAAGAAGUACGCUUAAUUCUGUUCCUACCAACCAAGCAUUAGGAACAAAAUUGAGAGAGAGAGAUUCGGUCACACCAUUUUAUCUCAAAAAACCCAACCGAGUGAGAGGAAAAGAAAACAGAGAACAAAGCUUUCUUUCUUCUUCAUACCCAAAACCGUGAGAAAGAGUGAGAGUGAAGGAGCAUUUCUGGUUCCUUCCAGCCACAACCAAGUGAGUAAGAGAACUGAAUGAGUGAUAAGAGGAGGAAGCUAACUCAGAAUUUCACAUAUCAGCUACCAUAGUGAGGAGGAACCGAAGCUAGGAGUAGGAGCAAUCUGCCACUAGUAAAACUUAGCAGAAAAAGGUAAGAAUCUUGUAACCACCCUUUUAUUUCUUGAAUAGAACUGAAUAUAUGGGCUUCAUGUUAGUUUUAGCAAGGCAUAAUGAGUUUUAACCGAGGAGAAAUCUGAUAAAGGAGAAAGAGAUGAGAACUGGACAGAAAUGGAGGGAACCGAGAGUUGUUGUUGAGUUGCAGCCCAUAAUAAAGGAAAUUUUCCGUAAUAACCUCUUAGUUAUUCAGUACACUUGAAUAUUAAGGUUGCAUGUUGGAUUGUAGCUAAGAAAAACUAAGUUUGGUUGAAGGAAAUAGUUGGAAGUUUCUGCUAUGCUGGCCGAAGGAGGAAAGAUAGAAAUGUCCAAGUUUCUUUAUAUAUUUUGGUUCUAA